GACGGAGGUGGCAAGCGUUGCUCGGAUUUACUGGGUGUAAAGGGCACGUAGGCGGCCCUGUAAGCUCCACUUGAAAGGCUCUGGCUUAACCAGAGCACGCGGUGGAGGACUGCAAGGCUUGAGGAUGGGAGAGGCGAGCGGAAUUCCCGGUGUAAGGGUGAAAUCUGUAGAGAUCGGGAGGAACACCAGUGGCGAAAGCGGCUCGCUGGCCCAUAUCUGACGCUAAGGUGCGAAAGCUAGGGGAGCAAACAGG
rnacentral:rRNA from 1 species